rnacentral:rRNA from 1 species
AUGCACGGCACGGUCAGAGUCAACCACAACAUGCUGCUGCGGGUCACUGGAGAGGCGUCCUCAGCGGAGCUCGUCGGCGUCUUGUAUGCCAGGGCGUCGAAGCCGACCAACGCGUCCACCGCCUCGUGUCCUGGAGUGGGCGGCCACAACUACAAUGGCGCCUCCGCGUCCGCCGUGCUGGUCCGCCUGGCUGGCGGCAAGAGCUGGCACCAGGACGACGACGGUGGUGAAAUUGAGGAAUUGCAGGAGGUCAGCCGUCGACAUCCCUCCUCUAUUGGUGAAGCAUCAUGGAGUAAUCCUCUUAAUUGA